CCACCAUACUACUAUUCUUCCCCACCACCACCCAAGAAAUCACCUCCUCCACCAUACUACUACUCCUCUCCUCCACCACCCAAGAAGUCACCUCCACCCCCAUACUACUACAGCUCUCCACCACCACCAGUUAAGUCACCACCACCCCCAUACUACUACUCUUCCCCUCCACCACCAGUUAAGUCACCUCCUUCACCAUACUACUACACUUCCCCUCCACCACCUACUCCUUACUAUCCUCCUCAUCAUUCCUUGAUCGUUAAGGUUGUCGGAAAAGUCUAUUGCUACAGAUGCUAUGACUGGAAAUACCCAAAGAAAUCCCAUGACAAGAAGCACCUCAAAGGUGCUGUUGUUGAGGUGACAUGCAAGGUUGGUGACAAGAAAAUCAAGAGCUAUGGUACCACUAAGAUUAAUGGAAAAUAUAGCAUAACUGUUGAAGGAUUUGAUUAUGCCAAAUAUGGAGCAGAUGCAUGCAAGGCUAAACUCCACAAAGCACCAAAGGAUUCAAAAUGUAACAUCGCCACAGAUCUUCAUUGGGGCAUCAAGGGUGCUAAACUCAAAGUGAAGUCAAAGAAUCACUAUGAAGUUGUGCUCUCUGCUAAACCAUUUGCUUAUGCUCCAAAAACUCCAUAUCAAGAAUGCAUGAAGCCUAAGCCAACCCCAACUCCUUACUACUACAAAUCUCCUCCACCUCCAUCACCAAAAUACGUGUACAAG
rnacentral:misc_RNA from 1 species